rnacentral:rRNA from 1 species
AGCAGCCGCGGUAAUUCCAGCUCCAAUAGCGUAUAUUAAAGUUGUUGCAGUUAAAAAGCUCGUAGUUGAAUUUCGGGGUCAGUAGGCUGGUCGUGCCACGGGUAUGUACUGGUCUUACUGAUUCCUCCUUCCUGAUGAACCGUAAUGCCAUUAAUUUGGUGUUGCGGGGAAUCUGGACUGUUACUUUGAAAAAAUUAGAGUGUUUAAAGCAGGCUAACGCUUGAAUACAUUAGCAUGGAAUAAUGAAAUAGGACGAUCGAUCCUAUUUUGUUGGUUUCUAGGAUUGACGUAAUGAUUAAUAGGGAUAGUUGGGGGCAUUAGUAUUCAAUUGUCAGAGGUGAAAUUCUUGGAUUUAUUGAAGACUAACUACUGCGAAAGCAUUUGCCAAGGAUGUUUUCAUUAAUCAAGAACGAAAGUUAGGGGAUCGAAGACGAUCAGAUACCGUCGUAGUCUUAACCAUAAACUAUGCCGACUAGGGAUCGGAUGAUGUUAAUUUUUUUUAUGACUCAUUCUGCGGCUUACG